rnacentral:misc_RNA from 1 species
UGGCAAACAAGCUCCUGAUAAUCUCUCUCGUCUUCUCCUCUCUCUUCUCCGUCUCCUCUUCUGUCCCUUCCGAAACACUCCUUGUAGCCGCCGAUAUUCUCUCAAAUUCCGGCUACCUAUCCAUGUCUCUUACUUUGCAACUCGUAUCCAACUCUCUGAUUCCACACUCUCCAGCUCUCACCAUAUUCUCUCCCUCUGAUUCUGCCUUUGCUCGCUCAGGCCAGCCUUCACUUUCCCUCCUCCAGUUCCAUUUCAGUCCUCUCUCUUUCCACCUCCGUUCCCUCAAACCCCUCUCUUCCGGCUCCAAGAUCCCCACUCUCUUUGAUAAUCACUCGCUCACCGUCACUUCCGGGCCAUCUGACGAUGACGCUAUUUCUGUAAAUGGAGUCAAGAUUAAUGGGUCGCCGAUAUAUGACGAUGGAUCUUUGGUUAUUCUUGGGAUCGGCGAGUUUUUGGAUCCAGAUUUUGAGGUUUCGCCGAAAAUUCCAGGAACUGGUGGUAAGCAUGGAUGUUCUUUCGAGGCCGGCCGUGGAUUUUACUCGUUUAAAGAGGCAACUGGGGUUUUGAGAUCAAAGGCGUUCUCUGUUAUUGCGUCGUUUCUGGAUUUGCAGUUGGUGGGCUCUAAGGACCGCCCUGCCUUAACAAUCUUUGCUCCAGUUGAUGAAGUGAUGAAGGGUUUUGUUGGUAAUGUGGAUGAGUACUCUUCGAUCUUUCUUAGGCAUGUUGUGCCCUGCAAGAUGCCAUGGAAGGAUUUGGUUAAUUUCAAUGAUGGGAUGGUGUUAGAUACAUAUUCGGAGGGGUUUGGAAUUCGCAUAAGCAGAUCUGGUGAUAUUUUCAUGCUCAACGAAGUCCCAGUUAGCUUCCCGGACAUGUACCAGAGUGACUGGCUCGUCGUUCAUGGCCUUCGUGGCAUAUUAGAGGGACCAAAUAGGCCAGAAGAAGUGGGAAGCGCUUCUUCUGAAAUGGGUAACAACAGAGAAACGAGCAUCUUGGAUGAUGUUGAACUGUAAAGCUUUCUGGUAAAUCCGCGUAGCUCUCAGUUUCCAUUACUUGAGUUUAGA